rnacentral:rRNA from 1 species
CAAGUCGAGCGGAUUGAAGGGAGCUUGCUCCCUGAUAUUAGCGGCGGACGGGUGAGUAACACGUGGGCAACCUGCCCUGCAGAUGGGGAUAACUCCGGGAAACCGGGGCUAAUACCGAAUAAUCGGUUCUUCCGCAUGGAAGAACUCUGAAAGACGGUUUCGGCUGUCACUGCAGGAUGGGCCCGCGGCGCAUUAUCUAGUUGGUGGGGUAACGGCCUACCAAGGCGACGAUGCGUAGCCGACCUGAGAGGGUGAUCGGCCACACUGGGACUGAGACACGGCCCAGACUCCUACGGGAGGCAGCAGUAGGGAAUCUUCCACAAUGGACGAAAGUCUGAUGGAGCAACGCCGCGUGAGCGAAGAAGGUUUUCGGAUCGUAAAGCUCUGUUGCGAGGGAAGAACAAGUACGGGAGUAACUGCCCGUACCUUGACGGUACCUCGUCAGAAAGCCACGGCUAACUACGUGCCAGCAGCCGCGGUAAUACGUAGGUGGCAAGCGUUGUCCGGAAUUAUUGGGCGUAAAGCGCGCGCAGGCGGUCCUUUAAGUCUGAUGUGAAAGCCCACGGCUCAACCGUGGAGGGUCAUUGGAAACUGGAGGACUUGAGUACAGAAGAGGAAAGCGGAAUUCCACGUGUAGCGGUGAAAUGCGUAGAGAUGUGGAGGAACACCAGUGGCGAAGGCGGCUUUCUGGUCUGUAACUGACGCUGAGGCGCGAAAGCGUGGGGAGCAAACAGGAUUAGAUACCCUGGUAGUCCACGCCGUAAACGAUGAGUGCUAAGUGUUAGGGGGUUUCCGCCCCUUAGUGCUGCAGCUAACGCAUUAAGCACUCCGCCUGGGGAGUAC